rnacentral:tRNA from 1 species
CGGGGUGUAGUUUACUGGCAGAACGCGCGGCUGGGGGUCGCGCAGACUGAGUUCGAUUCUCAGCACCCCGACCA